GACGAACGCUGGCGGCGUGCUUAACACAUGCCAGUCGAACGGAAAGGCCCUGCUUUUGUGGGUUGCUCGAUUGGCGAACGGGUGAGUGACACGUGUGUAACCUGCCCUUGACUUUGGGAUAACUUCACGAAACUGGGGCUCUUACCGGGUAGGAGCUCCUGCUGCAUGGUGGUGGUUGGAAAGAUUCGGCGGUUGGGGAUGGACUCGCGGCUUAUCAGCUUGUUGGUGUGGUAGUGGCUUACCAAGGCUUUGACGGGUAGCCGGCCUGAGAGGUUGGACGGCGACCUUGGGACUGCGGUACGGAGCAGUCGGCUAUGGGACGCAGUAGGCGGGAGUAUGACACAAUGGGGGGAAGUCUGAUGCAGCAGCGCCCCGAUCGGGAUGACGGCUUACGGGUGGUAAACCGCUUUGGAAGGAGACGAAGAGAGAGUGACGGUAAUGGAUCAAGAAGCAACGGCUAACUACGUG
rnacentral:rRNA from 1 species